AGGCGGACAUGCAUGCCAUUGUACUGUACACUACAUGAGUUGCAAAACUUGGCUCUACAUUUUUAUCGGCUGUACUUCUGGGUGACAACACUCCGUGUCCGGCUGCCUCCGCGUCUACCCGGAGCCCGUGUGCGUACGUGAGGAGUGUGUGUGCACAUACAGUAGUAAAUAAAUGAACUUACUGUGCGUGCUGUUGGAGAAAGCGAUCCAUUGGGAAGGCAGCCAGUGGAAGAAGAGGCACCCUGCCGCUCUGGGCCCUCCAAACCUGAGCCCACACAGACCAGACCAAAGCAGAGGAGCUCCAAGCUGGCCUCUCCCCGGAUUGCCUCAGCGGGUACCUGAGAGUUUACUGGGGGCUGGCAGCGUGUUAUCAUGCCUGCCGUGGGGACACCUGCCUCUGAUGCCGCCCUGGUGAUUCUAAUCUGCAGGACCCUUUAAUAAGAUAAUGAUAGGCUGCGUUGCCUCUGCUGCUCUGAAUGAUGGAGCAGGAGCACACACGGCUUUCUGUUGGUGUUAUUUAUUUUUGUUAUGGUUUUCGCGUGCUCACCUCUGCUCCAUGUGCAGCUGUGGUUUGGUACAACUGGGGAUUGUCUCAUCCAUGCAGUUCCAUGUCUCAGUGAGUGGAGGAAGUCAGAGGCAUCACCAGUGUCUGAUCACAAGACUUCAGCUCUCUGUUGUAGUCUUCAUGAGCACUGAUGAUAAAUCAACACACUCUUUCUGACCUCAGCACGUUUGAAUUGUUCACCAUCAGCAAUAAAUGGUAGAUUUAAUUAUAAUUCUGUCUCUGUGGCGUAUACAGAUUUAAGCUAUAAUAAUAAAAAAUGCAAAACACAAGUACUAAUACAUGCUACUUUCAUAUUUUACAAUCUUAAUGUGUUACCUUGCUGAUAGCUCUAUUGGAACUCUAUAUAUUUCGGUGAGCUUUUGAAAAUAUAUAUCGUUAGUGCUCAACACAUGUUUGCCUCUAAUAUCCAUACGUAUGUUUGCUUUUUGCCUUAGCCUACGUAUUUCAUGCUGCUUCUAUAUAGGGCAAACAUUAUAUUGAUGACAAAUAUACUCCAAAAUACCUUUGUUUUUUCCUUGAAAUACAUAUAACAAUAUAUACAAUGUGUAUACAAGAUGUAGCAAUUGAUUUUUAUUUUAUUUUUCUAUAUUUAGGAUUGCACUCUUACAGGUAAGAAAGCAUUUUACAUAAUAGACAUUUUUGCUUUAAUCAUUUUUUUUCAAAGGAUUCUAGGGACAUGAUUUCUUUUAAUGUUGAAUAAUUAGAUAGUCGAAACAGCAAGUAAGCACUGUUUGAGUGAAUAGAAGAGAGGUGAGUGUUUAAUACCAUAAAUCUCUUAAAUCCUCUGAAUCCCACUGCACAUAUGUUUAUGUUUGUUUGUUCUGUGGUUUAAUGGGGGAAUAAAUAAUUAGAAGCUGUCAAACUAAUUUAACAUAUAUUGAAUCUGUGCUACCUAUUUUAUACACAGUAUACAUGGGAAAGCUUAUAUAUAAUAGUUUACAGAUCAAUGUUUCAAUAUUAAUUUGUUCUUCAUCAUAAAAAUAUAAAACUUUCA